rnacentral:rRNA from 1 species
GAAGGCAAGGUGCGGCGCGAAAACGUGCGCACAUUUGAUGAUUUACGGAAAGCUGCAGAGGACAUGGCCUAUCACACCCCCUCGGCG